rnacentral:rRNA from 1 species
AUUGGAGGACAAGUCUGGUGCCAGCACCCGCGGUAAUUCCAGCUCCAAAAGCAUAUACUAAAAUUGCUGUAGUUAAAACGCUCGUAGUUUAUAAGUAGGACUCUCACGUGGCAAUCUGGAUACGGCAGCUGAGUCGUGCUAAAUCUCUCGGAGCUUUAGUGUAGCUUAGUUGUAUUUUCGUACACGCUGUAUCCCUACCCUUAGCCUGUACCUUUUAUGGUCUGGCUCGAGGGAGAUUAACUCGUGAGUGUUCCGACUAUUGAAACCGUGAACAAAUUAAUGUGUUUAAAGCAAGCUUAUGCUUGGCAACAAGUAUCGCUUGAAUAAUUUAGCAUGGAACCCCUUUUUCCCCCGACUGGUAACCCCAGUUGGGGGAUGAGAAAAUAAAAGGUCGGCGGAGGACUCUGGUAUUGUGUGCUUAGAGGUGAAAUUCCGAAAUUUACGCAAGACGAUCGGAGGCGUAGGCUGUCAUUGCCCAUCACACCUUUAUUGAUCAGGAACGAAAGUCAGGGGAUCGAAGAUGAUUAGAUACCGUCGUAGUCCUGACUGUAAACUAUACUAACAGGAGUUUGAGUAUGAACCUAAUUUUGAUCUUCCCAGGAUCCAAGGGAAACCUAAAGUUUUUGGGUUCUGGGGGGAGUAUAGUCGCAAGGCCGAAACUUAAAGGAAUUGACGGAAAGGCACCACCAGGUUAGGACAAACUUGAUUCUUUGAUUGGUGGUGCAUGGCCGUUCUUAGUUCGUGGAGUGAUCUGUCUACUUAAUUGUGUUAACGAACGAGACCUUAACCUGCUAAUUAGCUGCAACUUGAACCGCAAGGUUCUUGUUCUUUUUGAACAUUGCAAGUUAUAGGUUUACUUAUAACUGCUUCUUAGAGGGACACCAACGCGUUUAUAAAUAUUUAUUUUUCAGCGUGGGGAAGUUUAAGGCAAUAACAGGUCUGUGAUGCCCUUAGAUAUCCUGGGCGGCACGCGUACUACAAUGUUAUCAACAUCGAGCAACACCUAAAGUCCCUUUCCGGGACUUUAAGCCUUCACUUUAAGUAGUGUGGGGAAUCUUUGAAAUGGUAACAUGACAGGGAUAGCUGUCUGUAAUUACAUCUUGAACGAGGAAUUCCUAGUAAGCGUAAGUCAUUAUCUUGCAUUGAUUACGUCCCUGCCUUUUGUACACACCGCCCGUCGCUCCUACCGAUGGAAUAAAAAGGUGAACUUAACAGACUGAGUAAUUGGGAAAUUAAAUGAACCUUUUUGUUUGUAGGAAGGAGAAGUCGUAACAAGGUCUUCGUAGGUG